rnacentral:rRNA from 1 species
GACGAACGCUGGCGGCGUGCCUAAUACAUGCAAGUCGAGCGAAGGUUUUCUGGUGCUUGCCCUAGAAAAACUUAGCGGCGAACGGGUGAGUAACACGUAAAGAACCUUCCUCAUAGACUGGGACAACUAUGGGAAACGAUAGCCAAUACCGGAUAACAGUAUUUGUCGUAUGGGAGAUAUUUAAAAGAGUGGGCUGGAAAGAUGAGGAGAUGGUUUUGUGGUGCAUUAGCUAGUUGGUGGGGUAAAGGCCCACCAAGGCGACGAUGCAUAGCCGACCUGAGAGGGUGAUCGGCCACACUGGGACUGAGACACGGCCCAGACUCCUACGGGAGGCAGCAGUAGUGAAUCUUCCACACUUGUCAAAACCCUUACCCAUCAACACCACGUUAGUUAAGAAGGAUUUCGGUUCGUAAAGCUCUGUUGUUAGGGAAGAAUAGAUAUAUCUUAACUAUACAUUUAAGAAACAUUCCCUCAACAGAAAUCCACGGCUAACUACUUG